rnacentral:misc_RNA from 1 species
UUUCAAGUUUAACCCUAGUCAAGCCAAAUCAAGAAAAGAAAAGAAAAAACAAUUGUAUUUUCUUUGAUGCAUUAUUUUCUUUCGUUUUUCGUUUCGGGUUGGAGUAAUUGUAGUGGCAUGUUUGUUUAUAAUGCUAUAUUGAGGGGAACAAAUUAUGUAAUCUUUAUGGCACGAUUGCUUCGUUUAGAAGAUGUGUAAAUGCUAUGGUUUAAGAGCUUGAUAUGGGGAGAGAAAAAGAAGAUGAUGUGGGGUUCUCUUGCUGCUUGGUCUAUAAUGUUAAUUUCAUUUUGUCUUGUGAAUUUGUCGAAAUGAAGUUUCUGGCACCAGCUGAGAUUUCAACUUUCUGCUGUUCUUUUUUGCUUUCCUGUUUCUUCUAUUCUCUUUUUCUUUCUUUUGUUGAAGGAUAGUACAAAAAGGAAAGGUGAAGAGAGCCGCCCUACUUUGUUAUCCCCUCUUGAACAAUCAAGGAAUUAUGUUCUCUUUGUGCUUUCCAUUGUUUACUUGGAAAUGGAGAUUUUGGGGGUAA